rnacentral:rRNA from 1 species
CCUACGGGUGGCAGCAGUGAGGAAUAUUGGUCAAUGGACGAGAGUCUGAACCAGCCAAGUAGCGUGAAGGAUGACUGCCCUAUGGGUUGUAAACUUCUUUUAUAUGGGAAUAAAAUGUUCCACGUGUGGGAUUUUGUAUGUACCAUAUGAAUAAGGAUCGGCUAACUCCGUGCCAGCAGCCGCGGUAAUACGGAGGAUCCGAUCCUUAGCCGGAUUUAUUGGGUUUAAAGGGAGCGUAGGUGGAUUGUUAAGUCAGUUGUGAAAGUUUGGGGCUCAACCUUAGAAUUGCAGUUGAAACUGGCAGUCUUGAGUACAGUAGAGGUGGGCGGAAUGCGUGGUGUAGCGGUGAAAUGCUUAGAUAUCACGAAGAACUCCGAUUGCGAAGGCAGUUCACUGGACUGCAACUGACACUGAGGCGCGAAAGUGUGGGUAUCAAACAGGAUUAGAUACCCGAGUAGUC